GGUUCAAUGGAAAAAGCACACAAACAAUUAUCAAGGAAACAAAGCAAGAAGACGGUGUUUAUCCUGUAGGAGAUGACUGUAUAAAAGAAUUGCAAACUAUUCAACUAUCUGACAAUGUCCUGAUAGUAAUUAUUGUCAAGGUGGAUGCAGCAGGCAACGAGACCAAAGUGCUCGAAGUGCUUGCCAAAGUAUGUGAUACAACAGACAAAGUCUUACAGAAGAUCAAGGAGCUGCUGAAGGAGAAGGGGAUUUCAGAAAACAAUCUUCAGAAAGUCCUCUGCCUUGGUGACUGUUUAAUAAAAGAAGAUGCUGCCAAAACCAACUAACAUGCCACAGAGAACCAGUCACAUCAUCUUCUCCAUGGAAUCAGGAUCAACAAUAUGGAGACAACAAUCCUGGUUCCCACAAAACAUCAUCCAUCUCUCUCUCCAUAAUCAUACUUUCUUUCCACUUUGUCUCUCCUGCUCAGCAUUCAUGUCCUUUUCAGUGGUAUUUGAUUUCUGACAGAUUAAAUAAAUAGAUU